UACAGGGGGUGCAAACGUUGCUCGGAAUCAUUGGGCGUAAAGCGCACGUAGGCGGUUCGUUAUGUCGGAUGUGAAGCCCUUGGCUUAACCGAGGAAGUGCAUCCGAAACUGGCGAGCUAGAGUACUAAAGAGGAUCGCGGAAUUCCCGGUGUAGAGGUGAAAUUCGUAGAUAUCGGGAGGAACACCGGUGGCGAAGGCGGCGAUCUGGGUAGAGUACUGACGCUGAGGUGCGAAAGCGUGGGAGCAACAGG
rnacentral:rRNA from 1 species